rnacentral:rRNA from 1 species
UACGUAGGGAGCGAGCGUUAUCCGGAUUCAUUGGGCGUAAAGCGCGCGCAGGCGGCUUGCCAAGCGGAACCUCUAAUCCGAGGGCUCAACCCCCGGCCGGGUUCCGAACUGGCAGGCUCGAGUGUGGUGGAGGAAGGCGGAAUUCCCGGUGUAGCGGUGAAAUGCGCAGAUAUCGGGAAGAACACCGAUGGCGAGGGCAGCCUUCUGGGCCAUCACUGACGCUGAGGCGCGAAAGCUGGGGGAGC